rnacentral:rRNA from 1 species
AUGGCAGCUCCGAGAGCGCUCGUCCUCGCCGUCCUGCUGGCGAUCGCCGUCGCCAACGCCGAGGCAGCGUCCGUGGUCGUCGGCCUGGUCAAGUGCGCCGACUGCACAAGGAAGAACAUGAAGGCCGAGGAAGCCUUCAAAGGUCUCCAGGUAGCAGUCAAGUGCAAGAACGUCCAUGGCGACUACGAGAGCAAGGCACUGGGUGCCCUCGACGGCACCGGGGCCUUCCGCAUGCCCCUCGCCGCUGACCUCCACGGCGCCGACUGCGUCGCACAGCUCCACAGUGCAGCCUCCAACGCGCCGUGUCCUGGCCAGGAGCCAUCCAAGAUCGUGCCGGUUUCCGAGGGCACCACCUUCGGUAUCGUCGCCGGCGACAGCAUUGCCACGCCGUCUGCAGCGUCGCCGGAGUGCGCAUCCAUGACCCUGUGCGGGCCAAUCAAGAAGCACAUCAUCGAGCACUUCCACCACAAGAAGCCCGUGCCACCGAAGCCGGAGCCCAAGCCCCAGCCCCACCCGGACUACGGCCCCGUGCCCAAGCCCGAGCCAAAGCCGCAGCCCCACCCGGACUACCACCCCAUCCCUCCCACGCCCACCUACGGCGGCGGAGGUGGCGGCGGAUACCACGGACACCACUGA